GACGAAGGAUGCAAGCGUUAUCCGGAUUCAUUGGGUUUAAAGGGAGCGUAGGUGGUCUUAUAAGUCAGUGGUGAAAUCUCUGGGCUUAACCCAGAAAUUGCCAUUGAUACUGUAGGACUUGAGUACAGUUGCCGUUGGCGGAAUAUGACAUGUAGUGGUGAAAUACAUAGAGAUGUCAUAGAACACCGAUUGCGAAGGCAGCUAACGAAACUGUAACUGACACUAAGGCUCGAAAGUGCGGGGAUCAAACAGG
rnacentral:rRNA from 1 species